rnacentral:rRNA from 1 species
UACGUAGGGUGCAAGCGUUGUCCGGAAUUAUUGGGCGUAAAGAGCUCGUAGGCGGUUUGUUGCGUCGGCUGUGAAAACCUGAGGCUCAACCUCAGGCCUGCAGUCGAUACGAGCAGACUAGAGUGUUGCAGGGGAGACUGGAAUUCCUGGUGUAGCGGUGAAAUGCGCAGAUAUCAGGAGGAACACCGGUGGCGAAGGCGGGUCUCUGGGCAACAACUGACGCUGAGGAGCGAAAGCGUGGGAAGCGAACAGG